AGCAGCCGCGGUAAUUCCAGCUCCAAUAGCGUAUAUUAAAGUUGUUGCAGUUAAAAAGCUCGUAGUUGAAUUUCGGAGUUUGUCGGUUGGUCGGGCUUCACUGUCCGCACUGGCCUGAUAGAUUCCUACCUUCUGAAUAACCAGCAUGCUAUUAAUUUAGUGCGUUGGGGAAGCAGAGCUAUUACCUUGAAAAAAUUAGAGUGCUUAAAGCAGGCUUAUGCUUGAAUAGAUUAGCAUGGAAUAAUAAAAUAGGACGGCUUGGUUCUAUUUUGUUGGUUUCUAGGAUCACCGUAAUGAUUAAUAGGGAUAGUUGGGGGCAUUAGUAUUCAAUUGUCAGAGGUGAAAUUCUUGGAUUUAUUGAAGACUAACUUCUGCGAAAGCAUUUGCCAAGGAUGUUUUCAUUAAUCAAGAACGAAAGUUAGGGGAUCGAAGACGAUCAGAUACCGUCGUAGUCUUAACCAUAAACUAUGCCGACUAGGGAUCGGACGAUGUUAAUUUUUUAAUGACUCG
rnacentral:rRNA from 2 species